CGUGAGUUUGAAGGGCCUGGCCCCUGAGGAGCUCGACUCCGCUGCGGGGCAGUUGGACGGCUUCUCCCGACACCGCAGGGACCCCCGCCGGGCCCCCAUCAUCCGCAGCAACGACGGGCUGGAGUCCCUGCUCUCGCAGGACGAGGAGGAGGAGGAGGACCUGGAGCGGGCUCAGGAAGACGCCAGGAGUUUGCAGGCCUAUCGGACCGGGCAGAACCCCGCCUCCAGCGCCCUCUCCAAGUGCGUUUCCCUGAGCGGCAUCGACCGCUUCCCGGAUGCGGAUGAAAUCUCCCUCUUCGCUUCUGGGAUGGACUUCGCCAAUGGGUAAGGCUCGGAGGCAUUUGCUCGUCGU